rnacentral:lncRNA from 1 species
AAAUAGGUUAACUGUGUACGUUAGAAAUGGUUUUCCCUGUUUUACAGGAUGACCUCACACCGUUGUCGCUUGCUGUAAGUGAAAGGCAACAGCAAAUGGUGGAGUUUUUCGCAAAGAAAGAAGCAAAUAUACAUGCAGUUGAUAAGAUGAAAAGGUUUUCCAACAAACCUGGUGUUGAUUCAUGGCCUACAUCAGAUGAUGAAGACUUAGAUUUGAAACCAAGAAUGUCCUGA